rnacentral:rRNA from 1 species
CAUGCAAGUCGAACGGUAACAGGUUAAGCUGACGAGUGGCGAACGGGUGAGUAAUACAUCGGAACGUGCCCAGACGUGGGGGAUAGCUCGGCGAAAGCCGGAUUAAUACCGCAUAAGCUCUGAGGAGGAAAGCGGGGGACCGUAAGGCCUCGCGCGUUUGGAGCGGCCGAUGGCAGAUUAGGUAGUUGGUGGGGUAAAGGCUUACCAAGCCUACGAUCUGUAGCUGGUCUGAGAGGACGACCAGCCACACUGGGACUGAGACACGGCCCAGACUCCUACGGGAGGCAGCAGUGGGGAAUUUUGGACAAUGGGCGAAAGCCUGAUCCAGCAAUGCCGCGUGCAGGAUGAAGGCCUUCGGGUUGUAAACUGCUUUUGUACGGAACGAAAAGGCGCCUGCUAAUACUGGGCGUUGAUGACGGUACCGUAAGAAUAAGCACCGGCUAACUACGUGCCAGCAGCCGCGGUAAUACGUAGGGUGCGAGCGUUAAUCGGAAUUACUGGGCGUAAAGCGUGCGCAGGCGGUGUUGUAAGACAGUUGUGAAAUCCCCGGGCUCAACCUGGGAACUGCAUCUGUGACUGCAAUGCUGGAGUGCGGCAGAGGGGGAUGGAAUUCCGCGUGUAGCAGUGAAAUGCGUAGAUAUGCGGAGGAACACCGAUGG